UAGGGAAUCUUCCGCAAUGGACGAAAGUCUGACGGAGCAACGCCGCGUGAGUGAAGAAGGCUUUCGGUUCGUAAAACUCUGUUGUUAGGGACGAAGCGUAAGUGACGGUACCUGCAGAAGAAGCACCGGCUAACUACGUGCCAGCAGCCGCGGUAAUACGUAGGGUGCGAGCGUUGUCCGGAAUUACUGGGCGUAAAGAGCUCGUAGGCGGUUUGUCACGUCGUCUGUGAAAUCCUAGGGCUUAACCCUGGACGUGCAGGCGAUACGGGCUGACUUGAGUACUACAGGGGAGACUGGAAUUUCUGGUGUAGCGGUGGAAUGCACAGAUAUCAGGAAGAACACCGAUGGCGAAGGCAGGUCUCUGGGUAGUAACUGACGCUGAGGAGCGAAAGCAUGGGUAGCGAACAGG
rnacentral:rRNA from 1 species